rnacentral:tRNA from 1 species
GGGAGCGGAUUGGGCCUGGUGGCUCGCCUGGUCUUCAAAACCAUUGUCGGGCAGCGAUCCUGUCCGUGGUGGGUUCGAUUCCCACACGUUCCCGCCA